AGCCUUAGGAAAUAAAUCUUAGGUUAGACCUGCCCAAUGUAAUUUUAUCAAUGGCCGCGGUACUUUGACCGUGCUAAGGUAGCGCAAUCAAUUGGCUUUUAAUUGGAGCCAGGUAUGAAUGGAGUCACGGGGUUUAGCUGUCUCUAAAUUAAUUUAUUGAAGUUACUAUCUAGGUGAAAAAGCCUAGAAAAAGAAAAAGGACGAGAAGACCCUUAGAGUUUUUCUUAUAGUAGAUUAUUUCUAUAACAGUUUAGUUGGGGCAACAUAGGAUCAGAAUUAUAACAUCCUUAAAAUAAUUUACCGAUUAUAAUAAAUUUGAAUAAACUACCUUAGGGAUAACAGCAUAAUUUUAUAAAUAAGUUUGUGACCUCGAUGUUGGACUAGGAAACUGAAGGGCUAGCCGCCUUUUAGGAAAGUUCUGUUCGAACUAUUAUUCCU
rnacentral:rRNA from 1 species